GAUGAACGCUGGCGGCGUGCCUAAUACAUGCAAGUCGAGCGAACAGACGAGGAGCUUGCUCCUCUGACGUUAGCGGCGGACGGGUGAGUAACACGUGGAUAACCUACCUAUAAGACUGGGAUAACUUCGGGAAACCGGAGCUAAUACCGGAUAAUAUAUUGAACCGCAGGGUUCAAUAGUGAAAGACGGUUUUGCUGUCACUUAUAGAUGGAUCCGCGCCGCAUUAGCGAGUUGGUAAGGUAACGGCUUACCAAGGCAACGAUGCGUAGCCGACCUGAGUGGGUGAUCGCCCACACUGGAACUGAGACACGGUCCAGACUCCUACGGGAGGCCGCAGUAGGGAAUCUUCCGCAAUGGGCGAAAGCCUUACGGAGCAACGCCGCGUGAGUUAUGAAGGUCUUCGGAUCGUAAAACUCUGUUAUUAGGGAAGAACAAAUGUGUAAGUAACUAUGCACGUCUUGACGGUACCUAAUCAGAAAGCCCCGGCUAACUACGUG
rnacentral:rRNA from 1 species